rnacentral:rRNA from 1 species
GACGUAGGAUGCAAGCGUUGUCCGGAAUUAUUGGGCGUAAAGAGUUCGUAGGCGGUUGCCUAAGUCUGAUGUUAAAGCCCGGCGCUCAACGCCGGCAUGGCAUUGGAAACUGGGCGACUAGAGUGUGGUAGAGGUCACGGGAAUUCCUGGUGUAGCGGUGAAAUGCGUAGAUAUCAGGAGGAACACCGGUGGCGAAAGCGCGUGACUGGGCCAUAACUGACGCUGAGGAACGAAAGCCAGGGUAGCAAAAGGGAUUAGAUACCCCUGUAGUCCUGGCCGUAAACGAUGGAUACUAGGUGUAGGUGGAUUCGACCCCAUCUGUGCCGUAGCUAACGCGAUAAGUAUCCCGCCUGGGGAGUACGCUCGCAAGAGUGAA